rnacentral:rRNA from 1 species
AUUGAACGCUGGCGGCAGGCCUAACACAUGCAAGUCGAGCGAGAGGCGGACGGGUGAGUAAUGUAUGGGGACUGCCUGAUGGAGGGGGAUAACUACUGGAAACGGUGGCUAAUACAGCAUACUAUCGGAUAACCCAUAUGGGAUGAGCUAGUAGGUGAGGUAAAGGCUUACCUAGGCGACGAUCCCUAGCUGGUCUGAGAGGAUGAUCAGCCACACUGGGACUGAGACACGGCCCAGACUCCUACGGAGGCAGCAGUGGGGAAUAUUGCACAAUGGGCGCAAGCCUGAUGCAGCAAUGCCGCGUGUAUGAAGAAGGCCGUAGGGUUGUAAAGUACUUUCAGUGGGGAGGCGUUACCCACAGAAGAAGCACCGGCUAACUCCGUGCCAGCAGCCGCGGUAAUUC